GGACGAUGGUAUCUAAUUCAGACAAUAAUGAAAUGCAUAAACGAUAAUCUUCUCAUUUUAAUAUCGUCUUUGAAGAUAAACUCAACCAAAUGCAUUUCUAUGUCUUCUUCUUCUAUAAAAUCUCGAGCUGAAAAUUUAUGUGGGUGUGAUGGUCGUAUGGUUUCGUACCGAUGCAAGAAGUGACCAAAUAAAGAAAGGCUUAUUUGGAGAUGUCCCUUUUGGAGGAGUGGUGAGACAUGUGAUUUGUUCAUAUGAGAUGAAGACAUGAGAACAAAAGGUGGAAUAAAUAUGAGACUAUUAUAAACUCAGAGUUGGGAGCUAUGGAAGCAAUGAGCUAUUUGAAGGUUAUCCAUGAAGAUUCAAAGAAGAAGAACAAGAAUUUGAAGAACAAACUUAAAUCAAAGAAACUUUUGAGAAAUUUGAAAAUGUUAUGUUUUUAAUCUCCUUUAUGCUUAAUAUUUAUUUUGUUAUGAAAUGUAAUUGUUGAAGUAGAUAAUGAACUACAUUGUUUGUUAAUGAAA